rnacentral:rRNA from 1 species
UUUUAUGGAGAGUUUGAUCCUGGCUCAGGAUGAACGCUGGCGGCGUGCCUAAUACAUGCAAGUCGAGCGAACGGACGAGAAGCUUGCUUCUCUGAUGUUAGCGGCGGACGGGUGAGUAACACGUGGAUAACCUACCUAUAAGACUGGGAUAACUUCGGGAAACCGGAGCUAAUACCGGAUAAAUUUUGAACCGCAUGGUUCAAAAGUGAAAGACGGUCUUGCUGUCACUUAUAGAUGGAU